GAAUUGACGGGGGCCCGCACAAGCAGUGGAGUAUGUGGUUUAAUUCGAAGCAACGCGAAGAACCUUACCAGGGCUUGACAUCCCUCUGACAGCUCUAGAGAUAGGGCUUCUCUUCGGAGCAGAGGAGACAGGUGGUGCAUGGUUGUCGUCAGCUCGUGUCGUGAGAUGUUGGGUUAAGUCCCGCAACGAGCGCAACCCUUGUUGUUAGUUGCCAUCAUUAAGUUGGGCACUCUAACGAGACUGCCGGUGAUAAAUCGGAGGAAGGUGGGGACGACGUCAAAUCAUCAUGCCCCUUAUGUCCUGGGCUACACACGUACUACAAUGGCUGCUACAAAGGGAAGCGAGACCGUGAGGUGGAGCAAAUCCCCAAAAGCAGUCCCAGUUCAGAUUGCAGGCUGAAGCUCGCCUGCAUGAAGUCGGAAUUGCUAGUAAUGGCAGGUCAGCAUACUGCCGUGAAUACGUUCCCGGGCCUUGUACACACCG
rnacentral:rRNA from 1 species